ACUGAAUUGUGGAAUAAAGUCAGCCUAAAUUUACCAACAUCAUUUUUAAUAAACAAAUAAAUAAAUUACGUGCAGUGCUUUGUCCGUGUGCAGCUGUCGGCCUUCCACACAUUUCCGUUUGUCCGUUGAUGUUGCAACGCUGUUGGAAAAUAUUUUCUGAACCUCAAAAUUCAGAAAACAUUGGCUGCCGUGCUCUGCACUUAGAAAAGUCAAAUCAACUUGUACUUUAUCUUUGGGAAGGCUAACAGGAUGGCUGAUUGGAUGGUUUUUUUUUUUUUGGUAAAGGAUUGGAUGGUUUAGAUUUUGGUGAGUGACACGAGUGGAUGCAUUCACUCUUGAAGUUUGGCUCACUUAUAUUUAUUUAUAUUUUAAAAAUUAAAAUUUUUAAUUGAUUUAAAAUUUUUAAAAUCAUUGUAAAUUGAUCUAGAUGUUUAUCUUCGUUAGAGAACUCCAUAAUGUGAGGAUCACUUAAUAGAUUAAUUUUUAUAAAAUUCUAUAAGUGCCGAUCCUAGAUAUUUUUCUAUAUUGAUGUAUAUUGGAGAAGAGAGGAAGAAGAGUCAUAUAGCUCUCAUGUGACUUAUCUCCUCCCAUCUCGCUUACUGUUUUUGCCAUUUCUCUGUGCCCCAUCAGAUAGAAUGAAGGGAACAACAAAUAAAGGAGAGAGGAAGAGAGAGAGAGAAAGAGUGAGUGAUAUUUUCAAUAACUCCAUCCAUCGCUCCAAAGAAGAUAAAUC
rnacentral:lncRNA from 1 species